rnacentral:rRNA from 1 species
CCCUUAGAUGUCCGGGGCUGCACGCGCGCUACACUGAUGCAUUCAACGAGUCUAAAACCUGCUCUGAUAGGGGUGGGUAAUCUUUUGAAUGUGCAUCGUGAUUGGGAUAGAUGAUUGCAAUUUUUCAUCUUCAACGAGGAAUGCCUAGUAAACGCAAGUCAUCAGCUUGCAUUGAUUACGUCCCUGCCCUUUGUACACACCGCCCGUCGCUCCUACCGAUUGAAUGAUCCGAUGAAUAUCAUGGAUUGAGGAUGUAAGCAGGUUCGCCUGUCUUCAUCUUCGAGAAGUGAAGUAAAUCUUAUCAUUUAGAGGAAGGAGAAGUCGUAACA